rnacentral:rRNA from 1 species
UACGUAGGCAGCAAGCGUUGUUCGGAGUUACUGGGCGUAAAGGGUGCGUAGGCGGCCAUGCGUGUCUUCCGUGAAAUCCCUCGGCUUAACUGAGGACGUGCGGAAGAAACUGCAAGGCUCGAGUCCGGGAGAGGAGGGUGGAAUUCCCAGUGUAGCGGUGAAAUGCGUAGAUAUUGGGAGGAACACCGGUGGCGAAGGCGGCCCUCUGGACCGGUACUGACGCUGAUGCGCGAAAGCGUGGGUAGCAAACGGG